rnacentral:ribozyme from 1 species
UGCCCAGCAACUCCUAUCCCUACCUCCUCGCGGUACUGGCCGGGAUACGAGUAACCUUAGGGAACCAACCCCCGGUGGGAACUUUGGUCGUAUGCUGACAGAGAAGG